UGCCUAGAUGAUGAUGUUAUUGCAGUGACUGUUUUCAUGGAUGGAGAGUAAAACUUGGUGGUCUGAUACUGCUAUAUAUUAAUGAAAAUUUGGAUCCUUUUGACUGGAAAGAUUGUCAGGAACCUGAAGAAACUGAAUCCACAAUAAACAUAUGUACACAAACAGAAAAAUAACAACACUGGUUGAUACAAUUAUAGGAACCGGAAGAAGUUAAAAGUUUGACUUGCAACUGAAUAUCCAGGAAACAUGUCUUUUACUGAACAGUAUGAGAGAGCAAUGAUGAUUAUUGGAUUUAAACUGCUUGGAAAAUAUAACCAAAUGAAGACGAAAAAUGCACUGCAUCAACAAACAAAACAACUACUAAGAGAUUGGGAUUCUAAAAACAAUUGUUCAAAAUCUUCUACAAGUUUAAGAAGACUGUACAUACAUGUAUAUAUAUAUAUAUUUAUAUAAGAAAGAAAAAAGUUUCAAGCACAUGCAUUAUUUUGUGUACAUACAUGAAAUGAAUAGAAAAAAGGAUAGAAAAAAAGGAAAAGAAAAUGAAAAGAAAAAAAAAAAAAAAAAAAAAAAAAAAAAAAAAAAGAAAAGAA